GGGGGGAUAGCGUAGUUGGAGUGUAAUACGCCUAGAAUGCUUGCCUCCGGCAGGUCGUCGGUUCGAAUCCGGCUCCCCCCU
rnacentral:tRNA from 1 species